rnacentral:lncRNA from 1 species
AGACCGAGUUUAGAAGACCUUGGCCAGGGCAGAGUUAAUAGCGGAAAAGGGUUUCCGAUAUUAGAAACUCGAGUCGAAUAAAUUUAACAUAUGACAGACGAUGGGGUUUGACGAGUUAUUUCAUGACCUCCGUCUAGUCGGGACUCAUGAUAAAAGGACUGUAUCACACGGUAACUGCACCAAGAGGUUCAGUAUUCCAUUCUACUGGAAUGCCACUAAAUGCUGCUAGGCGUCAAUGGUGGAUUGUGAGACUCAUGAGAAUUAUCUAGAUGAUCGAUAAUUCUCAUUGGGCUGAGUUGGCAUUGUUCCGAUCCACUGAAAGGAGUUUCAGUGAUAUUAUUGAUAGUGAUCAAAAUAUAUCUCACUACCAGAUAGAAUAGAAUCUAUGGGGUCACACACAUAAGAGGUUGUGAUUGAUCGGAUAGCUAGAUCGCAGUUAUUGAAUCGUUGAAGGACCUAAUUGUCAAUAUAUUGAUAAUUGGACUAAUUUGUAAUUGUUACAAAUUAGUGGUAUUAAAGUGUAAAUGUUACUAGAGAGGACUUACUAAUAGUUAAUAAAUUAUAAGAGGACUUAUGUGCAAAUGUUGUAUUAUUAAUUUGAUAUGAUCAAAUUAAUAUAAAGUUCAAGUCGAAUCAAAUUAGGAUUUAAUCGAUUUAACCAUUUAAGGAAAUGAUAAAUUUAAAUAUAGAUUUGUACUUAUCCUUAAUGGUUAUUAUAUUAUUAAAAUGAGGAUUAUAU